CAAGCCCUAACUGUGCCAGGGUUCUGCUUAGCUCUCAUUCCUCGGUGCCUAUAUGGGGGGGUUACCCACACAGGAGGAGGCAGCAGGUGGCCGGGCGCAGGGAUGUGCUAACCCCUGCCACCAGGGGAGCUGGGGACAGGGGGGUCCCAGACACUCUAUCCUUUGCAGCGAGUCAGGUUGUGAUUUACUGGGAGGUGGUGGACAAAAUAGAGAGGCUUCUGGGGAGAAAUUCCUGGCUCCGCGGUGGACUUGCAGAGCUCAAGAGGCAACCACGUGGUAGAAGGUGCAAGGAACUUCAAUAAGGCUUUGGGCCCUGUAGGUGGGGCUGCCAUGAGCAGCAAGCUCAGUCCAGAAGAGCAGUUCCUCUCCAGCAUCCACUUCCUGCACAGUUAUACAUCGUAAGUAGCUGGAGCAGAGCACCCCGGCAUUCCGCAGGCAGCUAAGAACCAGAGAGCAAUGCAGGCCAGCUAGGAAUCCAGCGUCUCCCCCAGGACCCCCCCCCCCCCCGCACAACUCGUUAGUGCGUCGUUAUCAUGUCUGCUUGGCCCCAGCCCCGUCCCACUGUCCUGGCUUGUUCCAAGAACUUCUGUGUUCUCCAGCUUUGGUUUCAGCUGCAGCGCUGUCUGGUCCCCACGUUGGGCAACUCCAGCCGAGAUUCCUACACCCAAAUGUGACUCUGUUGCCUGAGGAGAAACCUCAGCUUUGGGUGUGCCAAGCCAUGUGCACAGCUCAUCCCAACCCCCGCAGGCCCGCCUGCCUCUCCCGCCUCCAGUCCUCCCCUGUGAUGAACAGAUGCCCACUGCCCUCCAGGGUUUGGCCAAGCAUGUGCCUGUCCCCUAGCCUCCUGUGGUUGAGCCUGCCAUGUACCUGCACACAGGAGGGGCUCCUGGCGUUUGCCCUACAUGAUGGGCUAUCUUGGGAGCUGCUGGAGAGUCACCUUGGUGGGGAUGCCAGAGGCCUGGGUUCCCCCAGCCAGCCUCAGUUUCCACAUGGAGUCUUUUUGCCCAUCACAUGGGACAACCUAGUAUUGGGGGAAAACUCAGUCCAUGGGGGAAAACUCAGUCCACCCUAAAGAAGCAUUGGCGUUUUAGAUGGAUGAAUGCUGCUUCAUGUGACUCAAUGUCAAUGGACUCUAUUUAUUCAACGCAGCUAUUUAUGUGAGUCUCCUCUGUUCCAGGCACGUGUGAAAGAAAAACUCCCCAAGUUGCUUGACACCGGGACAAACCAGGAAGUUCACUGCGUCUGGUUCCUCCUGCCAACUCACCCAGGCUACUGUUCCAUUUCCUGGCACAGAGUGGGGGGCGAGCUCCUCAGUACCCAGAGCGUCUGGUGUGUAGCCAAAGGCCUCCAGUUUAUUGGCCUGUAUGUUCAGUGUCACGCUCAAGACAAGGGCCACCCUAUCACUUCACAUACCUCAAAUACAGAAAGUGCCUGGAAAUGUUGAUAAGGGGAGUUUCCCUGAACAAGCACUCUUCUCUUGUCUACUGCCAUGUUAGAUGUGCCUUUCCACCAUGAUGAUGAGGUCUCCCCAGCCAUGUGGAACUGUGAGUCCAUUAAACCUCUUUUUCCUUAUAAAUUA